UAAAUAUGGGUGUUAAGCACAUGGAACUUUGAAUUCUAAGGUAAUAAUUUAUUAUUAUAUUUAU
rnacentral:tRNA from 1 species